CCUACGGGAGGCAGCAGUGAGGAAUAUUGGUCAAUGGGCGCAAGCCUGAACCAGCCAUGCCGCGUGCAGGACGACGCAUCUAUGGUGUGUAAACUGCUUUUGUACGGGAAGAAACCCUGCCACGAGUGGCAGAUUGACGGUACCGUAAGAAUAAGGAUCGGCUAACUCCGUGCCAGCAGCCGCGGUAAUACGGAGGAUCCAAGCGUUAUCCGGAAUCAUUGGGUUUAAAGGGUCCGUAGGCGGUUUUAUAAGUCAGUGGUGAAAUCCGGCAGCUCAACUGUCGAACUGCCAUUGAUACUGUAGGACUUGAAUUAUUGUGAAGUAACUAGAAUAUGUAGUGUAGCGGUGAAAUGCUUAGAUAUUACAUGGAAUACCCAUUGCGAAGGCAGGUUACUAACAAUAUAUUGACGCUGAUGGACGAAAGCGUUGGGGAGCGAACAGGAUUAGAUACCCUGGUAGUCCACGACGUAACGA
rnacentral:rRNA from 1 species